GACGAACGCUGGCGGCGUGCCUAAUACAUGCAAGUCGAACGCAGUGGGGACGUGUGCGUAACACGUGGGUAACCUCCCAUCAGAGGGGAUAACACUUGUAAACAGGUGCUAAAUCGCUAUUGAUGGAUGGACCCGCGGUGCAUUAGCUAGUUGGUGAGGUAACGGCUCACCAAGUCCACGAUGCAUAGCCGACCUGAGAGGGUGAUCGGCCACAUUGGAACUGAGACACGGCCCAGACGCCUACGAGAGGCAGCAGUAGGGAAUCUUCGGCAAUGGACGAAAGUCUGACCGAGCAACGCCGCGUGAGUGAAGAAGGUUUUCGGAUCGUAAAGCUCUGUUAUUAGAGAAGCGGUAUCUAACCAAAAAGCCACGGCUAACUACGUGCCAGCAGCCGCGGUAAUAC
rnacentral:rRNA from 1 species